AGCAGUAGCCGCGGUAAUACGGAGGGUGCAAGCGUUAAUCGGAAUUACUGGGCGUAAAGCGCACGCAGGCGGUCUGACAAGUCAGAUGUGAAAUCCCCGGGCUUAACCUGGGAACUGCAUUUGAAACUGUCAGGCUGGAGUCUUGUAGAGGGGGGUAGAAUUCCAGGUGUAGCGGUGAAAUGCGUAGAGAUCUGGAGGAAUACCGGUGGCGAAGGCGGCCCCCUGGACAAAGACUGACGCUCAGGUGCGAAAGCGUGGGGAGCAAACAGGAUUAGAUACCCCCAGUAGUCCCUGUCUCUUAUA
rnacentral:rRNA from 1 species